rnacentral:tRNA from 1 species
UAAAGAGUAGUUUAGUGGAAAAACGAAGAACUUUGACUUCUUUAUCGUAGGUUCGAAGCCUAUCUCUUUAA